CCUACGGGAGGCAGCAGUGGGGAAUUUUGGACAAUGGGCGCAAGCCUGAUCCGGCCAUGCCGCGUGUGGGAAGAAGGCCUUCGGGUUGUAAACCACUUUUGUCAGGGAAGAAACGGCUUUUUCUAAUACAGAGAGCUAAUGACGGUACCUGAAGAAUAAGCACCGGCUAACUACGUGCCAGCAGCCGCGGUAAUACGUAGGGUGCAAGCGUUAAUCGGAAUUACUGGGCGUAAAGCGUGCGCAGGCGGCUUUGCAAGACAGAUGUGAAAUCCCCGGGCUCAACCUGGGAACUGCAUUUGUGACUGCAUGGCUAGAGUACGGUAGAGGGGGAUGGAAUUCCGCGUGUAGCAGUGAAAUGCGUAGAUAUGCGGAGGAACACCGAUGGCGAAGGCAAUCCCCUGGACCUGUACUGACGCUCAUGCACGAAACGACGGUGGGGAGGACGAAACGAAGGAGUUAAGUAUACCCUACGGUAGGUACCGACCGACCCGUAAACCG
rnacentral:rRNA from 1 species